UAGGGAAUCUUCGGCAAUGGACGAAAGUCUGACCGAGCAACGCCGCGUGAGUGAAGAAGGUUUUCGGAUCGUAAAACUCUGUUGUUAGAGAAGAACAAGGACGUUAGUAACUGAACGUCCCCUGACGGUAUCUAACCAGAAAGCCACGGCUAACUACUUGCCAGCAGCCGCGGUAAUACGUAGGUGGCAAGCGUUGUCCGGAUUUAUUGGGCGUAAAGCGAGCGCAGGCGGUUUCUUAAGUCUGAUGUGAAAUCCCCCGGCUCAACCGGGGAGGGUCAUUGGAAACUGGGAGACUUGAGUGCAGAAGAGGAGAGUGGAAUUCCAUGUGUAGCGGUGAAAUGCGUAGAUAUAUGGAGGAACACCAGUGGCGAAGGCGGCUCUCUGGUCUGUAACUGACGCUGAGGCUCGAAAGCGUGGGGAGCAAACAGG
rnacentral:rRNA from 1 species